AUCGUAAGCUCGAGCCCUUCCCUCUCCUCCCCUCUCUCUCUCUCCGGGGCCCGAUAAACAAAACCGAGGCGCUACCCGAACUUGGAAUCCUUCGAAUCGAAACCUCACCUGGCCUCGCCUCACUCUUCUUUCCUCUCCGAUUCCGCACCUCUUAAAAUUCCUCUCCCCCUCUCUCCCCGCUCGCCGCCGCGUACCGAUCGGUGCGAUUCAUUCCGGCGCGCGCGACCGCGGAACCCUAGCUCCGACCCCGGCCCCCUCUCCCCCCGAAUCCGAUUCCCGACCGCCGUCCCCCUCUCCCCCCGAAUCCGAUUCCCGACCGCCGUCCCCAUGGCGAGCGGCGCCGCCGAGGGCGAGCCCCGCCGCAGCAAGCACCGCCGCUCCCCCUCCUCCCCCUCCUCCCCCCGCGGCGGCGGUGGCGGCGGCGGCGACGAGGAGGACGCGGAUAGGGCCUCGAAGAGGCACAAGCACCGCCACCACCGGGGGCAUCGACACGGCCGCGGCCACCGCCACGCCGGCAAGAAGGCCGAGGAGGAGGCCGGUUCCGGAGGCGACGGCGUCGAUUCUCCUUCCCCUCCUCCUCCACCUCCUUCACCGCCUGCUCCUGAUACUGCUGUUGCCUUGCCUCCUCCUCCGCCGCGGCCGCCGGCCUCUUCGAGGCGCGAUGACGACGUGGAGGAAGGAGAGAUUCUCGACGAAGAGGGUUCUGAGCCUGCCGAGGAGCUUGACUGCAAGAAUCUGGUAAAUGAAUCCGAAUCUGGUGUGCCGCCUGCCGAAAGAAGCGAUGGAGUUGUUUCUGGAAAUUCAAAGUUGAUGGUUGAUGAACUCCAGUCAGCAGUUGCCAAUGAUAGUAAAGUAAAUGGCGGAAUAGGUCACGAGUCUUUUAGGAAGGAUAAGAGUCAUGGACCUAGAUUCCACUCUGAAGGUAACGACAAGGCUAAGAACUUGUAUAGUGCUGACACUGCAGAGAGUGGAGAGAGUGAUGUAAAUGAUCCUGCCGAUAGGCAUAAGACAUCCCCCUGCUCACCAAGUUCUGAUAGAUAUAGAGAUGAUGGAUUUGUGAGGGAAAGAUCUCCGUCACAGAGCAGUUUACCCUAUGGAGGCUCACCUUUAAAACGAAGAAACCAUAUGGAAAGGGAGUCCUUAUAUUUUUCCGAGAAAAGCAAGAUUGAAUAUGAUUCCGAUGAUCAUAAUAUGACUCGGCGAAGCAAGGAUAAAUUGCAUAGCACUGGAGAUAUUGUGAAGGACAAGGAAAGGGAAAGGAUUUACUCUAACAGAAGGUAUGGUGGCAUGGAGGAUCAGCAUUACAGCAGGGAGAGGAGCAUCGAAGAUAAAAGCAUGGGGAGUGCUUAUGACGCAGUAGAUAGGAGGAGGGAAGAACGAGAAAAAAGCAAAGAUAGGGAUGUGGACCGGGCCCAUAGAAGGAGAAGUGAACGUGAAAGGAGCAAAGAUAGGGAUGUUGACAGGGACUAUAGAAAGAAAAGUGCACGAGAACGGAGCAUUGGCAGGGAGGUUGAGUGGGAUAGGGGAAGAGACAGAGAAAGAGAAAUGAGCAGGGAGAGGGACUUGGAGAGGGAUAGGAGAAGAGAUAGAGAAAGAGAAAUGAGCAGGGAGAGGGAUAGGGAUAGGAGAAGAGAGAGAGAAAGAGAAAUGAGCUGGGAGACUGACAUUGAUAGGGAUAGAAGAAGAGAAAUAGAAAGAGAAAGGAGCUGGGAGAGGGACAUGGAUAGGGAUAGAAGAAGAGAGAAGAAGAGGGAGAGGAGUACAGAGAGGGAUAGAGAGAGAGAUAGAAGAAGGGAAAGAGAAAGAGAAAGAGAAAGGAGCUGGGAUAGGCCCGGAGAUGGUAGGAGAGACAAGGACAGAGAGAGAAUCAGAGAGAGGAGUAGGGAUAGGAGUUGGAAAUCAGAGCGGUUGGAUGAUGGAAAGAGGGAGGAACGUAGGGAUGGCCGGAGUGGUGACAAGUAUGAAAAUGCUGAAGAUAAUUAUUUUGAUAAGCAUGGAUAUUCAAAGCACCCAAGACGAAAUGAAGUGAAAGAUGACAUUGAUAGAAUAAGUAGAGGGGUUUCAACAAAAAUGAGCGCUGCAAGAGCUAGCACUAUGGAUGGUGAUAAAGAAGCACACAAUAGUGAUGAGCUUGAACAGGAUGACCUCGAUGGAAAGUUUUCAUUUGAGAUAGCUGAGCAGGAAGAGGAGGAUGUGAAUAGAAUUAAGGAAGAAAGUAGAAGACGAAGGCAAGCCAUUAUGGAGAAGUACAAGAAUUUGCAGCAGCAGCAGCAGGAGCAGCAGCAGCAGCAGCAGCAGGAGGAGCAGCAGCAGCAGCAGGAGCAGCAGCAGCAGCAGCAACAAGAAGAGCAUGUCCAGCCUCAAGUGGAGGAUGCGGUGGAAGACAAUGCACAUCCAGAAAAAUCAACAGCAGAAGUUCGUGGUAGUACUGCUGAAAAUGCAGAUGCAUCUGCUGCCGAACCGUCAUUUGCUAUUGGAAAAUCACCUCUUGGAAAUGGAGUUACUGCUAAUGACAGGACCUCUGGUGAAAGAGGUCUAGGAGAGGGAACACCGAAGAGUGAGGGAUCUGAUGACAUCUUCUGUGAUGAUAUAUUUGGAGAUUCACCCGCUGGGGCACGUAAGAUGGGUAAAGGAGGUGGUUUACCUGUCGAAAGGAGUGGUCUCCAUGACAAUUGGGAUGAUGCUGAGGGAUACUAUAGCUAUCGAUUUGGUGAGAUACUUGAUGGCCGAUAUGAAGUUAUUGCUGCACAUGGGAAGGGAGUUUUUUCGACUGUAGUUCGUGCGAAAGAUUUGAAGGCUGGCAUUGGUGAACCAGAAGAAGUGGCAAUAAAAAUACUGCGAAAUAAGGAGGCCAUGUACAAGGCUGGUGUCGAGGAGCUUGGCAUAUUGAAAAAAUUAGUAGGUGCAGAUCCUGAAGACAAGCGGCACUGCGUUCGUUUACUUUCCAGUUUUAAAUACCGCAAUCAUCUUUGCCUAGUUUUUGAAUCUCUUAAUAUGAACCUGCGUGAAGUUUUAAAGAAGUUUGGUCGCAAUAUUGGUCUUAAAUUAACUGCUGUUAGGGCUUAUGCGAAGCAACUCUUUAUUGCUCUGAAGCAUCUCCGAAACUGUGGUGUUCUUCAUUGUGAUAUAAAGCCUGAUAACGUGCUGGUUAACGAGGCAAAAAAUGUGUUGAAGCUUUGUGAUUUUGGAAAUGCCAUGUAUGCUGGGAAGAAUGAAAUCACACCAUAUCUUGUGAGUCGCUUUUAUCGUGCCCCAGAAAUCAUUCUUGGCUUGCCUUACGAUCAUCCAUUGGAUAUGUGGUCUGUGGGUUGCUGUUUAUAUGAGCUUUAUGCUGGGAAAGUUCUUUUUCCUGGCCCUACCAACAAUGACAUGCUUCGUCUACACAUGGAAUUGAAAGGCCCUUUUCCAAAGAAACUGCUUCGAAAGGCAGCAUUUGCAGACCAGCAUUUUGAUGCAGACCUGAAUUUCCUUGCUAUAGAAGAGGAUUCUGUCACCAAAAAGAGCAUAAGGAGAAUGAUUCUCAACAUCAAGCCUAAGGAUAUUGGGUCGAUUAUCAAGGGUUCUUCUGGUGAGGAUCCAAAGAUGUUAGCAAACUUCAAGGAUCUUCUAGACAAAAUUUUUGUAUUGGAUCCGGACAAGAGGAUGACCGUACAACAAGCUUUGAAUCAUCCUUUCAUCACUGGCAAGUGAAACAUGUUGCUGAUUUUUGACUCAGAAUGCUGUUGCACUUGAUAAUUGUCUUUGGAAGAUAAUUCUCAUUCAGAAUAUCUAAUCGUUCCGGCAUUAUCUUUGCUUAAUUGCCUGUGCUGGAAGAAGCGCUUCAAGGGGGGUUUAUGCCAUUAUUGAAGGGGGAUGACAUUUGUUCAAGAAUACACUUUACUGGCGGUUCUUUCAGUGGAAUGUACUGUUCCUAUUGAUCUCUCCCACUGCUUUGAGGCAACCUUCCAGUGUUUAAUUGCUUUACAAAGGCACCCUGGAGAAGGUACCUUGGUUUGUUGAUUGGGAGCUUGUUGUGAAACCUUGAAACUACUAAUUAGUGCUCUUUGCUAUAUAUUGUACCCACUUUGCCUAAGCCAUCAUGAUUGUGAGUCACAUGAGCUGUGCGGGCUUGAUAAAUGUCAUCGUAUAGGGAAAAUUGAAAAGGUUUUAUUUCGAUGCUAUAUCAUGAUCCCUUAUAUAUAAUCGCUCUAAUUGUUAGGGGGUCAUUGAAAGUGGAUGUGACAAUUCCCUCUUAGUGUUUGUAAUUUGCAUCAAACUGAUGUCUUUGUUAUCUGUUUCUCUAAUUAUAAGUGAGGAGAUUUUAUUAGCCAUUCUUUUUUGUGUGAUUUUCCCUUGCUUUUUGUAUCAUAUAUGUACAUAGCCUAAUCAAGUUAUGUUACAUCUGAUCCAUGGACUAAUGCUCUGGAGGCUAUUACGCUGGAGACAUAUCGCAGCAGCCUUCAAAGUGGAAGGAUGCGUCCGGCACAGGUUCCAUGCUUCUGCGAGUCUCGUAAGUAUCUUCCUAUCCUGUAGGUAAUCAUCACCCGUGCCAGUUAAGAUUCCUCUCUUUCUUCUUUCCCUCGCUAGUAUUAGAUUCUUCUGUCAGUCUAUAUUUUAGUCUUUUAAAUGCUCUAUGUUUAACAUAUGUUAGCAGUUAGUAAGGUGUCAUUGCUGGCCUUCAUAUGGGGAAUGAGAAUGUGGGGUUGAUUUUGUAGUCCCUGCUAGCUGAGUUGUGAUCCCAAAAUUACGGGGCUGUAAGCAACUCGAUUGGGUGAAUGAGUAUUGAAAGUUUAGAGAAAAAUACAUCCAUUUAGAGUAAUGGACUUUUACUGGACAUCUUAUGACAAAAGCAGUUUUACUUUGUGUGUGAAUAACUGAACUUUUUAUUACUUGGCAAAGGGUUAUAAGUCGUCUAGUUUGAAUGGUGCAACUUUUUUUAUUACUGUACUGUACUGGACUGCAAAUGUGCAUGGAUCUCUACAUGUUGUCAUUUAUCAUCCCUCUGUUUUUGAUUUUCAAAGGAUCAUUCUGUACUGGACUUCCUUUUUUGUAGCGAGACAUGGUGAAUACUUGAGGCUCUUUAUGAGCACUUGAGCAUUCUUAUUUGUCCUGUAAGCCAAGUGUUAGGUGGGUCUUAUGCAGGGUGUUAAGGAAAAAUGUAAUGGACAAUGGAUAGUGACUUGCCUUUGUGUUUAGGUGGACUGUUCUUACUAAGAUCCUAGAGGUCCUGGUCUCGAAUCAUACCUUCCAGACCCCUUCACAAAAAGAGAGAGUUGGUUAAAUGAAUUUGGGUAAUUUUGGAGAAUGAUACUGGCAAUUAACAAUGUUAAUGUAAAGGGGGUUCAUUAAUGCAAUAGAGGGUUUGAGAAGAUGUCCUGUCCUGAACAAAAUACAAACUUCUCUGCAGUUGCAGACUUUACAGACAAGUGUUUCACAGUUUAAGAGACAGCUAAAUCAUUGCCUUUGUAUGAAAUAAAAAUUCCCUGCUGACAAGCUUAGAAGAGGAAAGAUAGCAACCUAUUGAAACAUAAGACUUUGGACAGUCUGGUGGCGAUGUCUAUGCUGCUUAUUUGUCAUCCAUAUCACUGGGCAUUACAAAUUUUACAUCAUUAUAAACUUGCUUCUGUUUCACUCCAUCCUCUAACAACUGUGGCUCUGCAUUUUCCCCCACCCCCUUGCCAAUGUAUUACUGGAGAGGUGAACACUAGAUAAGGAAGAUUUAUAGACAUCCACAGCAAUUGCUUUAGAAGUGCUUCUUCUCCAUUAGACUGCCAAACGUUUUCUGUGUGAAGAGCCAGGAGGUCAUUGAUUAAUUUUACGAGAGUUAUUUUGAAUAUAUUUAGGCCGAGGGUUAUAAGUUGUCCACCCAAAGAGAAAGGGAGGGAGGGUGGGGGCAGCAUUUUAUUUGCCUUCCACUGCAUCUUAACAUGCUUCAUAGCAACAUAGGGAUAACUAGUCCGAUAAUGACAAGUUUAAUUUGGAGAUUCAUUUCCAGUUUUAUAACAUUUAGGUCAAUGGUAAUGAGUUCUCCCCCUCCCUGCUCUCUCUGUCUGUGCGCUUGUGUGUGUGAGGGCAUGCAAAGAAGAUGCACUGCAACGAUUUAUGUGACUUAGUUUCUUCUUACACACGUCUUAUCUGCACCAAGUGCAGAUGAUAAAUUGUUUCCAAUGGGUAGGGUCAAAUACUCCUUGUCGUGUAGAGUCAGGGACUCAGGUUAGUCAAACUCAACAAAAAUGGAACGAAGUCCUAUAAGGGGAACUCUUGACCAUGGAUCACUUGGUUCAUGGAAGAAAACUUGGAUCUCGAACAUCUGUAGUCUAAUGUGCUCAUUAGGUUAAGCUUCUAAUUUGAAUAUGUAUAGUGUCCAUAUAAAUGUUUUAAUCACAGUUCCGAAGAUGGUUAAAUUUAGACAAAAACCACAAAUUACUAACCUUUAUGUAACAUUGUCGAUUCUAUUCUGUUCCUUCAAUUGGUGCAAUCAAUUUGCUAAAUAACUUCUCAAAAAAUUGCACUGAAGUCCUCUCGAGAAAUGGCUAUUGCUACCAUGCAGCUUAAAGAAUCCUAUAGUUUGCAAUAUACAUUAUUCCAUGCGGUUUGGAAGGUGAUCACUGUAUCUGGUGAAGCAUUUUGGGGGGUAUUCACUCAGCCCUUGCUGGGAGAUUCCAAAUUUUGUCUGAUCAAAACCACGACUUCACUUUUGCCGUCUACACGACAUCCUUGAGAUGGGAGAUGAGUGGCCUUUGUUAUUACAUCAUAUUUGCUGAAAAGAAAAAUCAUAAUUAUCGAGAGUCAAUCACCUGCAAUAUCUUGUGGUUUCCUUGCGUUGCUCAUUGAUUUAUAUAUUAAUGUUCAUCUCUGCCUUUUUCUUGCUUUUUCUAACUGUUUUGGUGGAUUAAUAUUUGAAUUUGAGUGCCUGAUGUUCUAAUGAGGCAAUUCACAAUUAUCAAUAUGUUUUCCUGGUCGAUGGUUAUAAUGGAGGUGAGCUAUGCUGGUUGUCAUCUUGAAUGUGCCGAAAGUGGUGCUUUAUUUUAUAGUACUCUGCAAGUAGUUGUGUCGCACAAGAGAAGCCAUCUGUAAAGGCUCGUGAGUUAAGUUUUAUAAGAAAAGAAAAUCUGAGCCGGAGUCAAGUGUAAUUGUAUUGGCCGGGUAAUUAUAUGUAAGUAAUUUAUCGUGUGGUACGCCUAAGGUACCCUUUGAAAUAUUUGUUGAGCUCUGCUUGGUUAUGUCUCCGAGCAUGGUUUUCUUUUCCUUUUUUCUCCUCUAUUCAAUGUAUAGAUUUUUCUAAAA